rnacentral:rRNA from 1 species
GAUGAACGCUGGCGGCGUGCCUAAUACAUGCAAGUCGAGCGAACAGACGAGGAGCUUGCUCCUCUGACGUUAGCGGCGGACGGGUGAGUAACACGUGGAUAACCUACCUAUAAGACUGGGAUAACUUCGGGAAACCGGAGCUAAUACCGGAUAACAUGUUGAACCGCAUGGUUCAACAGUGAAAGACGGUUUUGCUGUCACUUAUAGAUGGAUCCGCGCCGCAUUAGCUAGUGGGUAAGGUAACGGCUUACCAAGGCAACGAUGCGUAGCCGACCUGAGAGGGUGAUCGGCCACACUGGAACUGAGAAACGGUCCAGACUCCUACGGGAGGCAGCAGUAGGGAAUCUUCCGCAAUGGACGAAAGCCUGACGGAGCAACGCCGCGUGAGUGAAGAAGGUCUUCGGAUCGUAAAACUCUGUUAUUAGGGAAGAAAAAAUGUGUAAGUAACUAUGCACGUCUUGACGGUACCUAAUCAGAAAGCCACGGCUAACUACGUG